UGGGGAAUAUUGCACAAUGGGCGCAAGCCUGAUGCAGCCAUGCCGCGUGUAUGAAGAAGGCCUUCGGGUUGUAAAGUACUUUCAGUCGGGAGGAAGGUGGUAAGGUUAAUAACCUUAUCAAUUGACGUUACCGACAGAAGAAGCACCGGCUAACUCCGUGCCAGCAGCCGCGGUAAUACGGAGGGUGCAAGCGUUAAUCGGAAUUACUGGGCGUAAAGCGCACGCAGGCGGUUGAUUGAGUCAGAUGUGAAAUCCCCGGGCUUAACCCGGGAAAUGCAUCUGAUACUGGUCAGCUAGAGUCUUGUAGAGGGGGGUAGAAUUCCAUGUGUAGCGGUGAAAUGCGUAGAGAUGUGGAGGAAUACCGGUGGCGAAGGCGGCCCCCUGGACAAAGACUGACGCUCAGGUGCGAAAGCGUGGGGAGCAAACAGG
rnacentral:rRNA from 1 species